UAAGAGGUCCAGCCUGCCCAGUGACUCUGUUCAACGGCCGCGGUAUCCUAACCGUGCGAAGGUAGCGUAAUCACUUGUUCUUUAAAUGAGGACUAGUAUGAAUGGCACCACGAGGGUUACACUGUCUCCUUCCUCUAAUCAGUGAAACUAAUCUCCCCGUGAAGAAGCGGGGAUGAAAUUAUAAGACGAGAAGACCCUAUGGAGCUUUAAACACAGUAACAAUUGCCCUGACCUUAUUUACCAGCCCCCGGGCACAAUUAUUCACUCAGGCACCUUGAUUACAAGUUUUAGGUUGGGGUGACCGCGGAGCAAAAAAUAACCUCCACAGUGAAAGGGGUCCCACCCCCUAAACCCCGGGCCACAGCCCCAAGAAUCAAAAAAUUGACACCCGUUGACCCAUUAUCUAUGACCAACGAACCAAGUUACCCUAGGGAUAACAGCGCAAUCCACUUCAAGAGCUCCUAUCGACAAGUGGGUUUACGACCUCGAUGUUGGAUCAGGGUACCCCAGUGGUGCAGCCGCUGCUAAAGGUUCGUUUGUUCAACGAUUAAAACCC
rnacentral:rRNA from 1 species